rnacentral:rRNA from 1 species
CCUACGGGAGGCUGCAGUGGGGGAUAUUGCACAAUGGGGGGAACCCUGAUGCAGCGACGCCGCGUGGGCGAAGAAGCGCCUCGGCGCGUAAAGCUCUGUCAGCAGGGAAGAAAAUGACGGUAACUGAAGAAGAAGCCCCGGCUAACUACGUGCCCGCAGCCGCGGGAAUACGUAGGGGGCAAGCGUUAUCCGGAUUUACGGGGUGGAAAGGGGGCGCAGACGGCGAUGCAAGCCAGGAGUGAAAGCGCGGGGCCCAACCCCGGGACUGCUCUUGGAACUGCGUGGCUGGAGUGCAGGAGGGGCAGGCGGAAUUCCUGGUGUAGCGGUGAAAUGCGUAGAUAUCAGGAGGAACACCAGUGGCGAAGGCGGCCUGCUGGACUGCAACUGACGUUGAGGCCCGAAAGCGUGGGGAGCAAACAGGAUUAGAUACCCCGGUAGUC